rnacentral:rRNA from 1 species
UGGGGGAUUUUGCACAAUGGGCGCAAGCCUGAUGCAGCGACGCCGCGUGAGGGAUGAAGGCCUUCGGGUUGUAAACCUCUUUCGCUGGGUUGAAAGGCCAUGCUUUGGGUGUGGUUGAUUUGAACUGGUAAAGAAGUACCGGCUAACUACGUGCCAGCAGCCGAGGUAAUACGUAGGGUACUAGCGUUGUCCGGAUUUAUUGGGCGUAAAGGGCUUGUAGGUGGUUUGUCGCGUCUGUCGUGAAAUCCUGUGGCUUAACCAUGGGCUUGCGGUGGGUACGGGCAGGCUUGAGUGCGGUAGGGGAGACUGGAAUUCCUGGUGUAGCGGUGGAAUGCGCAGAUAUCAGGAGGAACACCGGUGGCGAAGGCGGGUCUCUGGGCCGUUACUGACACUGAGGAGCGAAAGCGUGGGGAGCGAACAGG